UUUUUUUUUUUGAGAGAGAGAGAGAAAGAUAGCAUGCUACCCGCUUCGUUUAUUUCAUUUAGAAAUAAAUUUAGCUGGAAAUAUGAAUCAACUAGUAUUCGAACUUGGGUCUCGAAUACCAACCACCAAGCCCUUUGGCACUUGCUCUAGGGACGAUCGGUCUCCCAUGGCCUUUUCGAAAAUGUCUUUAUUGUAAAACUUUGUAACAGUUUAUUAGAGAAUACAAUCAAUUUCAGAUACCAUUUAAUUACAUAAAUAACUAUACACAAAUGUUUAAUUUAAUAUAAUUUUAAAAUUAUUGUUUAAUUUAAUAUAUUU
rnacentral:lncRNA from 1 species